GCUGGGUGGAAACAGGAAGUGAGAUGGCUGGGAGAAGAGAAAACAUAAGAGGGAAGAAACAGGGCAAAGGAGGUAAUUUUGGCUUUGGCUUGCUCCUUCUUCUCUCUGAUCUCCCAGCAUUUCCCUCUAUAUCUGACUCUGGGUUUUUAUUAUUUAGACCAAUUUGGAACUCCUGUUUACAUUUUGGUGCUCAACAAGGCCAGAACAUUAACAUCAGGACAGGGGCAAAUUGCCCCACAUGGACCCCUGAGAAAGCCACCAGCUCUCGUGGACUUGCUCAUUCAAAAUGCAAAAGUUGGACAACAUUCGGACAAGUCAGACCAGAGGAGCUUCAGUGUCAUUGGACUUCCUUUGGCAGCACACCUAUGACACCUGCUGGCCAAACAUCAUCAUUGCAAUUUAAGAUAAGGCCAUAAGAGGCACAGACGAUCUUCUAAGGAUUUGAGGUUUGAGUCUCUAUCAGUUUUCUACAAUGAUACCAUGACCAUGCCUAACAUUGACCUUUGAAGUCUCCAAAAGGAGGAUGGGGCCAUAAAAUGACAAUUUCACCAGGAUUAUCACAACACCAUUAUGCUGAACAACACCAACUAAAGAUCAGCUUUGGACUACAAAAUGCUCACAAUUCGAGAUGACUUGCUGAGAUUAUCCAGCCUCACAGACACUGCUUGGAACAAUUUCAAGGUGGCUAUCUGAGGUUAUUCAGCCUCACAGACUACUUUGGUUCACAGAAAUGUCUGUUAGAUAUGCUAGGCCUAUAGGCCAAAGAUGGAUGCCCCAACAUUACAGAGCAACCUUGGGUGACUGUCCAAGUAGCCAAUUGUUUCUGUCAUUUCUCACAUUUUUGAAAGUCUCUUGCUCAUACUUCCUGUUUACUCAAUUAAUAUUAUUUUUCUUCUUGGGUCUCUGAGGGAGUUGAAGACUAGAUAAAAUAGUUACAGUUUUCCUUGUUUACCAGGUUCAUUAAAGAAAUUCACUAGCGAUGUAUUAAGUAUAAUAGGUUUGAAAGACAUUAAAAGAUAAUUUGAUAAUGCAAAUUAGAAUAGAAAGUAAAUUAGGUACAAGAUUUGCACUCAUUCAGAAAGAAUAGAUAAUGUAGUAUUUUCUCUGAAUUUGUCAAAUGCUAAUGGACUAGACAUUGUUAAUGUACUUAUUUCCUGUACUGUUGGGCCUUAAAAGGCUCAGAUGUGAGGCCCAGUAUAACCUCCUGAGCCUGGCUAGCGUUUGGCGACCUGUCUCUGGCCUGUAGUAACCUCCACAUGGGGUUGACUCAGCAAGGCCUGAUGUAAGACUGCCCGCUGCCUAGCUACCUGCCAGCUUGGUGGAAUAUUAUUGGCCCUUACUCCUCACGUCUCCUUACCCCAUCCUAAGAUUCCCAUUCCCUAUCUCAACCCUAUAUAAGUUCCUGCCUGUUGGAAUAAAGUGAGAUCCUGCUUUGACAAGUCUCCCGACUCAGUGUGUGUUUCUCCCCAUACCUGGGGGGUUUCUGAGUUGUGGACACUCACCACCCCGCUCAGCCCCUUGAAGAGACUGGUUGGACUGGCCUUUCCCCAGCUCUACGUGCUGGAGGACCCAGAACUGUGCAUACUAUAUAUAGUUUUUCUUAUAUUAGUAUAGCCUUUUUUAUUUUUAGACAAAAAAGGGAUAUGUGGUGAUAUCUUGCUUGUACAAAUAAAACCUGUCUGAAUAUCAGAGGAUGGAGUUUGCCACUAACUAAUCAUGGGGUCUGGAUGUCUGUACAGACAGACAGGAAGUGAAAUGGCUGAGAGAAAAGAGGGAAGAAACAGGAACACACUUUCUUGUCUGCUGACAUGCAAAGGAGGUAAUUUUGGCUUUGGCUUGCUCCUUCUUCUCUCUGAUCUCUCAGCAUUUUCCUCUAUAUCUGACUCUGGGUUUUUAUUAUUGAGACCAAUUAAGAACUCCUUUUUAUAAACCUGGAUCCUCUGGAAGAGGAGCAAGUGCUCUUCAUACACUGAGCCAUCUCCCAAGCUCCAUUUAAAAAAAUCACUUAAAAAAUUGUACUUGGGUGUGCCUGUGUACAGCAGGAAUGUGGAGUUUUUGUUUUGUUUUGUUAGGUUUUUGUUUUUUGUUUAUCAAGACAGGGAUUCUCUGUGUAGCCUUGGCUGUCCUGGAACUCACUCUGUGGAUCGGGUCAGCCUCAAACACAGAGAUCCACCUGCCUCUGCCUCCCGAGUGCUGGGAUUAAAGGUGUGCAUCACCACCACCGUGUGGAGUCUGGGGAUGGAACUGAGGUCACUGGACUUGGCAGCAAGCAUCCUUACCAGCGGAUCCAUCUCACUGGCCCCAUUAACCUCUUGAGCUCUUACUAUGUGGCUGAUGCCCUUUACAUUUAUCUUCCACUAUGCUUUUACUGCAUAGCACGUUAUAUAAACUCUCAAGAGUGACACUUUUUAAUAGAGUUGAGCAAAGCCCAAGUCUGUCUACUCCAAAGCACUGCAUUAUUAACCUACAGUUCUCUUUAUUCCAUGGAUUAAUUCACUUGAUUAGGUUAACUGCCCACACUGGCUAGCACUAAUAUUACAUACCUAGCAGCUAGAUAAGAUGGAUGGAUGGAGCUACAUUUUUAGUGUGGGAAUGUCAUUACACUUUGCUGCAAUGACUAUCUAGGGCCUCAUUUUUAACUUCCAUAAACCUAUGUGGAGGUGAAAACUUGGCUUAGUGGUAUAGCAUUUGCCUAAUGAAGCCUGGAUUCAAUACCCUAUGGAGACUCAGGGUGUUCAGUUGUACACAUCCAUUUCCUAAAGUAAGGAUUUUUGUGUGAAAUGCUUUUUACUCUUUUGGCUAUUUGAGGGGACCACCACCCAACUUCCAAAUAAAUCCCACAUAGAACCUUAUUAUUACUUAUGAAAGUUGUUGCUAGCCAGUUGUUUUAAACUUUAAAUUACACCAUCUACCCUUUCCCUCAGGGCCUUUAUCUGUCUUACUUCUGUAUAUCGUACUUUCCGUCUUACUCUGUGGCUGACUGGGUGGCUGGGUGCCUGCCCCUGACAUCCUCUUCCCUUUGUUCUCUCAUUGCUCCUCCUUCUGUUUAUACUCUCUGCCUGCCAGCUUUGCCUUUCCUUGUGCCUGCCUUGCCACUGGUCAUUCAGCUCCUUAUUAGACCAUCAGGUGUUUUAGACAGGUACAGUAACACAGCUUCACAGAGUUAAACAAAUGCAACAUAAACAAAAGUCACACACCUUAAAACAAUAUUCUACCACAAAGAACUUUUUCACUCUAUAGAAUACCCUUAUUCAGCACCUUCAAAUGCCACACUCCUGCCAUUUUCUGGUUGGAUUUGAGGCUCCUUCACAUAAACUCAUGCUUACUACUGCAAAUCUGGUCACAGCAGGGGAGGUCAUAGGUCCAAGAACUUAUUGCUGCUUUAGAAAAUGGUCAUGUUGUCAAAACAUUGUAUACAUGUAUGACAUUCUCAAAUAAAAAUACAUUUUAAAAUAAACUUUAAAAGUUGGAACAAGGACUGGAGAGAUGGCUUAGCAGCUAAGAGAGCUUGCUGUUUUCACAGAGGAAGUUCAAUUCCCAGAACCCACAUAGCAGCUCACAAUUGACUCUAAUUCCAGUUCCAAAGGCUUCAGCACCCUUUUUUGGCCCCCACAAGAAUUACAUGCACAUGAUGCACAGACAUCAUGCAAAAAAUACUCAUAUCACAGACACAAAGAAUUCUGCUUUUUGAGGCAGGUUGACUUGCCCCUGGCAGAUCAAGCAACCAUGAGUCUGCUGAGAUCUCUGGGCUACCCCCAACCCCACUCAGGGCAGAGGUGAGCUUGGGCCCCUGUCUUGGGCCGACUUCUGCCUGCCCACUCUAGGAAC
ensembl:lincRNA